GUGCGGGAUGUGAUGGCGGCUUGCGGGAUGCAGGAGGACGAGUGGGUGCCGUCUGCCUAGGUUGAAGCAAGUCUCGUGGCAAGUUGGUGACUCUGGAUUCUCAUUAUCAUCAUCCGGUGUACCAUGGCUCCGUUGGGCCUACAGAACACCUCUGGUCCGCCGCCGCCACCAAAUUCAUGCUGCUAGUUGUUGCGUCCCCCGCUUGAUAUUCCGGGAAUGCAUACGCGGAGGCCAAAUCGGGGCCAACUGAGGCCAGUGAUUUCAUUCACACCCCGGACUACUCAUACCAACAUCAAAUUCUUGUCAUCGGGCUCCAAAGCCGUCGGAAGCGUCAAGGAGAUGGGUCUUAUUCUUCCUUAUGAUGGCGUUGAUGUGGUAGGUGCUGGGCUUGUUGUUCCAAUCGCUGAGGGCAUUCUACAGCUUGGUGCACGCCGAAGAAUUGUCCCGGCUGGUCUGAAACCCUGAAGC